UACAGAGGUCCCAAGCGUUGUUCGGAUUCACUGGGCGUAAAGGGUGCGUAGGUGGUGAGGUAAGUCGGAUGUGAAAGCUCCGAGCUCAACUCGGAAAUGGCAUUGGAAACUACCUUGCUAGAGGGUUUGAGGGGGACUGGAAUACUUGGUGUAGCAGUGAAAUGCGUAGAUAUCAAGUGGAACACCAGUGGCGAAGGCGAGUCCCUGGAAAACUCCUGACACUGAGGCACGAAAGCUAGGGGAGCAAACAGG
rnacentral:rRNA from 1 species